rnacentral:misc_RNA from 1 species
GAGAUGGCUCAGCGGUUAAAAGUGCCAACUGNUCUUCCAGAGGUCCUGAGUUCAAAUCCCAGCAA